UGCUACCAUGCAAGUCGAACGGAGAAUCAGCAAUGAUUCUUAGUGGCGAACGGGUGAGUAACGCGUAGACAACCUGCCUUCUAGAUGGGGACAACACUGCGAAAGUGGUGCUAAUACCGAAUGUUGCAUUAAGCCUGCAUGGGCUUGAUACUAAAGGUGGCUUCUAUUUAUAAGCUAUCACUAGAAGAUGGGUCUGCGUCUGAUUAGCUAGUUGGUGAGGUAAUGGCUCACCAAGGCGAUGAUCAGUAGCCGGUCUGAGAGGAUGAACGGCCACACUGGGACUGAGACACGGCCCAGACUCCUACGGGAGGCAGCAGUGGGGAAUCUUCCGCAAUGGACGAAAGUCUGACGGAGCAACGCCGCGUGAGUGAGGAAGGUUUUCGGAUCGUAAAGCUCUGUCUUUGAGGACGAAUGUGUCUAAUGUGAAUAAUGUUAGAUAAUGACGGUACUCGAGGAGGAAGCCACGGCUAACUACGUGCCAGCAGCCGCGGUAAUACGUAGGUGGCAAGCGUUGUCCGGAAUUAUUGGGCGUAAAGCGCGCGCAGGCGGGAUAUUAAGUCUGUUUUAAAAGUUCGGGGCUCAACCCCGUGAUGGAAUGGAAACUAAUAUUCUUGAGUGCAGGAGA
rnacentral:rRNA from 1 species